rnacentral:rRNA from 1 species
GACGAACGCUGGCGGCGUGCCUAACACAUGCAAGUCGAACGAAGUAAGUUGCUUCACCAAGUGUUGAAUAGCUACCCCCAAGCGCAUUUGCCAAAGGGUAAGCAAAAAGUACUAUCAAUUAAAUAAAAUGGUGAAACAAAAGAAUAGCGAAGAAGAAGCAAAUGCGCUUCACGCUAAUUCCAAGUACCAACACAAAACAAAUUCAAUGUUUGGUGAAGCAACUUGCUUAGUGGCGGACGGGUGAGUAACGCGUGAACAAUCUGCCCCGUACAAAGGGAUAGCCUCGGGAAACCGGGAUUAAAACCAUAUGACACUUAACUGCCGCAUGGUAGUGAAGUCAAAUCGAUUAAGAGGUAUGGGAUGAGUUCGCGUCUGAUUAGCUAGUUGGUGAGGUAAGGGCUCACCAAGGCGACGAUCAGUAGCCGGCCUGAGAGGGUGAACGGCCACACUGGAACUGAGACACGGUCCAGACUCCUACGGGAGGCAGCAGGUGGGGAAUAUUGCACAAU